ensembl:lncRNA
CCAACACACGCUUUCCUCAGCAGCACACACAUGCAAUAUCUGACAUCUGUGUUGCCUCUAUUAUUCCUGCACAAGUUCCUCACACAACAAUGGCCUGACAGAAAGCUAAACCCUGCAGCACCCAGAAAAAGGAAAGGCAAAUUAACCAGCUUCACUCUAACACUGAGGGACCAUUAAAGUCGAAACGCCUGAUCUCCCUGGCUGGUUUUUCCUCUGCGUCCUCUCCCUCGUUCCUCUCUCGUUUUCUCACUCUCCAGCAGGAAAGGUUAACUGUGAGAGGCUCUCAGAGACACUCCAGCAGACACACAAGUGAUCUUUCCUUUAAUUGGCUUUUCCACUCCCCUUCUCCUCCUCUCUUCUGCCUAGCAGGUCAGCACCGUCCACUGCCGGGCCUGACAGAGGAAACACGAGCACACACACGCUCAGCACCACAAUAAGGCAGCUGGGCUUAACUGAGGAUUUGAUGCACAGGGUGGGGUGUGUGCGUGUGUCUGUGCACCUUUAAAUAUCUCCAUCCGACCAGUCAAUCUGUCGUUAGUAAUACAGAAUAGCAGUACUGUGUAAUUGAGCUAUCUGGCUCUUGGGCCUCCAUGAUGUCCUCAUCCAUGAAGCAGCUGACACUGUGGCUCUGCUCCUCACUGUCACAGGGAGAGGGCAUACAGGAAAUUUAUAAGGAGAGCACUGACAGACGUGAGGCUAUUACCAGCCAUUGUGCAGUCUAGGUUUUUUUUUUUUAUCAGCAGUGAAUCGUACAACCUUAUUCUUCCUCCCCAAGGAGAAUUUCACAAAAUAAAAUGUUUUUGAGUAGGAGCAUGCACCUUGCAAAUGCGGCUUUCAGGCAGCCUUUAGACUCUGUCAGAAGGAUGAAACAGAUGCAUAUAUUCUGGCUGAAAAGCUGCUAUUAUUACACAGUUGGAAAAGAGGCCAAGCUGAGCUCCUGCAAUUGAAAACAUCAUUGAGAAAAGUUAUCCAAUUCUAUAACUUUUUUUCACAUCUGGAAGAAAAAUGCUUAAUUGUGUUCUUCUUAACUGAAUCUGGCAGGCAGCAGAUCUAGAUAGGAGAAAGAGAAUCACAGUGUGAAAUGAGCUAUACGCUAGACUGACUUACCCACGGUAGCCUAGAAUCGGAGCAAGACGACUAGACAAGGCAGUUCACUCAAUUGCACCCUGGACUCGGUUAUGCCUGCUAUUCUGCUUCAUCUCGCUCUGUGCGCCAGGCCUCGACACAGCCAUUAUCCACAGGGUGCAGUGUGUG